GAGGGCACAGCUCAGUGGUAGGGCGUGUGCUCAGCACGCACAAGUCCUGGGUUCAAUCCCCAGUCCCACCA
rnacentral:tRNA from 1 species